rfam:Drosophila ananassae strain TSC#14024-0371.13 Ctg01_17245, whole genome shotgun sequence.
GGGGGCGUAGCUCAGGGGUAGAGCGCUCGCUUCGCAUGCGAGAGGCCUCGGGUUCGAUUCCCGACGUCUCCA